rnacentral:rRNA from 1 species
GGCCAGACUCCUACGGGAGGCAGCAGUGGGGGAUAUUGCACAAUGGGGGGAACCCUGAUGCAGCGACGCCGCGUGGGUGAAGAAGUAUUUCGGUAUGUAAAGCCCUAUCGGCAGGGAAGAAAUUGGACGGUACCUGACUAAGAAGCCCCGGCUAACUACGUGCCAGCAGCCGCGGUAAUACGUAGGGGGCGAGCGUUAUCCGGAUUCACUGGGUGUAAAGGGAGCGUAGACGGCCAAGCAAGCCAGGGGUGAAAGCCCGGGGCCCAACCCCGGGACUGCCCUUGGAACUGCAUGGCUGGAGUGCGGGAGGGGCAGGCGGAAUUCCUGGUGUAGCGGUGAAAUGCGUAGAUAUCAGGAGGAACACCGGCGGCGAAGGCGGCCUGCAGGACCGCGACUGACGUUGAGGCUCGAAAGCGUGGGGAGCGAACAGGAUUAGAUACCCCUGUA